rnacentral:rRNA from 1 species
CCUACGGGCGGCAGCAGUGAGGAAUAUUGGUCAAUGGACGAGAGUCUGAACCAGCAAAGUAGCGUGAAGGAUGACUGCCCUAUGGGUUGUAAACUUCUUUUAUAAAGGAAUAAAACGAGGCACGUGUGCCUUUUUGCAUGUACUUUAUGAAUGAGGAUCGGCUAACUCCGUGCCAGCAGCCGCGGUAAUCCGGAGGAUUCGAGCGUUAUCCGGAUUUAUUGGGUUUAAAGGGAGCGUAGAUGGGUUGUUAAGUCAGUUGUGAAAGUUUGCGGCUCAACCGGAAAAUUGCAAUUGAUACUGGAAGUCUUGAGUACAGUUGAGGUAGGCGGAAUUCGUGGUGUAGCGGUGAAAUGCUUAGAUAUCACGAAGAACCCCGAUUGCGAAGGCAGCUUACUAAACUGUGACUGACAUUGAUGCUCGAAAGUGUGGGUAUCAAACAGGAUUAGAUACCCCGGUAGUC